AUACGGGGGGGGCAAGCGUUGUCCGGAAUCACUGGGCGUAAAGGGCGCGUAGGCGGCGCAGUAAGUAGGGGGUGAAAUCUCACGGCUCAACCGUGAAACUGCCUCCUAAACUGCUGUGCUUGAGCACGGUAGAGGCAGAUGGAAUUCCCGGUGUAGCGGUGGAAUGCGUAGAUAUCAGGAAGAACACCAGUGGCGAAGGCGGUCUGCUGGGCCGUUGCUGACGCUGAGGCGCGACAGCGUGGGGAGCAAACAGGAUUAGAUACCCGGGUAGUCC
rnacentral:rRNA from 1 species